rnacentral:tRNA from 1 species
GGAUCUUUAGCUCAGUUGGUUAGAGCUAUCGGCUCAUAACAGCUGGCUACGCGAGUUCGAUCGGUCGCUGGUUCGAAUCCAGCAAGAUCCA